UACGAAGGGGGCUAGCGUUGCUCGGAAUCACUGGGCGUAAAGGGUGCGUAGGCGGGUCUUUAAGUCAGGGGCGAAAUCCUGGAGCUCAACUCCAGAACUGCCUUUGAUACUGAGGAUCUUGAGUUCGGGAGAGGUGAGUGGAACUGCGAGUGUAGAGGUGAAAUUCGUAGAUAUUCGCAAGAACACCAGUGGCGAAGGCGGCUCACUGGCCCGAUACUGACGCUGAGGUGCGAAAGCGUGGGGAGCAAAGCAGG
rnacentral:rRNA from 1 species